GGGGAUGAGUCAUAGCUCAGUGGGUAGAGCAUCUGCUUUGCGUGCCAAAGGUCCCCAGUUCGAUCCCCGGCAUCUCCA